CAUGUGUUAUGUCCUUCCCGCCCUCGACAGAUAUUAUCAACACUUGAAUUACUCAAGUUUUUUUAAGUAGAUUUAAAAGUUACGAAUGCAUGUUGUAAACAGUAGCAUGUGAUCAUUUAUUAAUAAAGAACAAGGUAUUAUUGGAUUUACAAAACGCUUGGAUUGUUUGAUAGUUGCAUUUAAACUUGUAAGUAGACGUGAUAGACGUGAUAAAUAGAGAAAUUUAUCUGUAUAAUCUAACAAUUAAUUACACAUAUUCACAAUUUUUUUAAUAUUUUAAAUGCUGAGAUUAUGAAACAAAAAAUACAUUAAUUGGGCUAUCGUCUCGUUUUAAACAUGAAUAUUCAUGGUUAGUGGCAGUGAAGAACUAAUUACGAACAAAUGGAGAUGAUCCGUUAAAUCUAUAAGCAUUUUAAGUGUCGAUGUGUAACGUACGCGUAUCAAAUUUAAACAUAUGAGCAUGUUGAACAUUUUUAUGAGUAAAUGUGAAAUGGUACAUAAUAAGCUAUCUGAUUACCUGAAUUUGAAAUAUGUCAGUUUGAUAUCGAGAUACAUCAAAUUUCAUAGCUGAGGUUAAUUUAGCUCAUAUUCAUUUGUGAAUACUGACGUAUGUUUUAUAGGAGAGCAACUGAUAUGGUUUACUCGUUGCAGGCCCCUUUCUUGCCUUUUAUCACUUUCUUUUAUUUCAUUUGACCUUUAGUGGAUAGUUGUCUCUAUGGUUUUCACACAAAAUCUCGUUAUGUGUAGAUCUAUAAUUGGAAUAUGUAGUAUGUUUGCAAAUGAGUCCAAGUCAUUUGAUUAUAAACUACAUGUAGUAUAGCCCCUGACAUGACAACAGGUAAAACAUUUUAAACAAAAAAUCCAACAAACCUUUUUGUGAUAUAAAGAAAGAACAAUACAUAUGAUGGACAGUAAAUAACAAAACCAUAUGAUUGCUAUGCUCCUCACCCGAAACAGGUACAUAUUUGUAGUAAAAUUUUAUAUGACACAUAGUAUUUUAGUUAUUUUUUUGUUUAAACUGCCAACACAUUAUUAAAUAAGUUAUCUAAAGUAAAGAAUAUGAAAUUAUUAUAGAGAUCAAUAUGAUUAUUAUUGUUUAAUUGAUCGGGAGUAUUGGUAUGGAAUCAUAAAUUUGAAUAUGUCGAAUAUCAUAUAACUGAAAGUAUUUUUUUGAAUUUGUCAUAUACAAUGUAUAUUCAGAUGAAUGCUAUGUAUUUUUCAUAUCGGUUCGGGUAUCACCCCUGUAUUAGUCAGAGAUGUCAGUCGAGGGGUAACACCCCGGCCGAUAUAGAAAAGGACAUCGAUUAAAAUUUUAUUAUAUACCGUGUUAACUAGUCUUCGAACAGGCUUCCUAGCGUCAAGUAAGGCUGCAGAUAUGGGCUUUUCGCAUAGAAGGAUUAAAUGGUUUGUUUACGUUCGUUCGUCACACAGAUGCAAAACACUAUCAUAUUAAUGCUAAGUAUAUGAUAAACAUAAAAACAUAUUUAAUAUUGAUUUCAUUUGAAAGGCAUAUUGACGUUUAGAAUCCACUUGUUAAACGUUAAUUAUGUAAAUCUAUUUAUUUAUGGGGCUAUCAUAAAAAUCUAAAAAAAAUUUAGUCAUAAAAAAUUACACGCAAGUCGAAUGUAAUGGAAAUAAAAACACAUAUUUAAUCAUCACUUAUCAUUCUAUUUCAUUCAUUUUAUAGAAACCAUAAAGAUGUCUAUGAGAUCAAAAGACCCAGGAAAUCAAGGUAAAUUAACUGUGGUAUACAAGUGUUCAAUUGUCAUAGGAUGAUUGAUUUGUGUGAAUUUUUAUGUACGCUAUAAGAACCGAAGUGCAUAUUUAAAUGUUAAUAUGGAUACUCUAUGUAUUAUUCAAGACAUCCCCUUUCAAACAUACAAGACUACUUUUUAAAUACCUAAAGAUAAUUGGUAUUAAGAGAGAGAAGGACAGUUUCAAUGUAAAACUACUUUACUAGUAGUUUUUGUUUGUUAGAAGUGUAGUGUUUGAGAUACAUAUUUGCCACCAUAUUAUUUCUUUGUUUUUAAAUAUAUUUCAGAGAAACAGGAUUCUUCACCAACUGAUGUACAGAAUUUUAUGUGCAAAGUCUGCAGAAACUGUCUUAGUAAUUUGUUGUGGUUACCUUGUCGCCAUUUAUGUACUUGUCAGUCCUGUGGGGAACAAUUGAGAAAGUGUACAGAAUGCAAUACUUUAAUCAAAGCGACACUGAUUGUACGAUACAGUAGCUAACAUCAUAUAUAUUGAUAGAUAUUAGCUAUAUCAGAUGUAUGUGCUAGCUUGUAUUGAUUAUAUAACCAUAUUAUAUUUAAAUAAAAGUUUAAACGGUU
rnacentral:lncRNA from 1 species